GAGCAUGUCAGUCUUUUUGAGGAUUGAACAGAGUCUCCAUAGCAGACAGGACAUUAAAUUCGGUGACCGUGCUAUGAAAAUAUGCAAAGGUAAGAAGAGACCAUUCCUAUUCCUAGUUCUUUGCAUUGCUCUGAGAAGGAGCCCAGUGUGGAGAGUGUGAGCAUGCCUGGGUUAUGAGAAGUUCAGAUUAAAUAAAACUAAAGGAAAGUAAGGAGUGGAAAAUUCCAUAUCUAAAGACUUGUCAUGAGUUUGCAAUUCGGUUUUUGCUUGCUUCCUUUUUGUUUUAUUAAUCUGAGAAAAAAGUUACCCAUUCUUUAAGGCUCAGGAGCAUUGCUUUAGCAUCACUAACACAGUUCACACUGCGGAGGUCUGCAUAUAAUCAUUCAUGAUUUAUUUGAGCUGAUUUCUUAGAAAGACAAAGGAAAUAUGCAAUAAGGAGAUCUAAAACAUGCCUUUAGUUAAAACAGACAGAAAUCACAUGUGAUCUUAUUUGUUCUCAGAAACACACACACACACAAAUGUAGUCAAACACUUCAGUUAACAAUCUUCUCUUCUCUGCUCCAGCAAUAAAAGAAAAAAAACUCUAUACAUUUCUAUGAAAAUUUCAAAAAAGAGAAGCUAUUGUUCUUUUGUUUUUAAUUGUUUAGAGAUAUUUUAGAGUCUUUUAUAAAGAUGAUUAGUAUUACAUUAAUUUUAGUACCUAAGUGGAAGUCAUAUAGUUCUGAAAGGAACUCCCAGAUAGUGAGUAUAUAGUUCAUAGCUACAUAGAUAUACAGGCAUUCAAUAAUGUCUAAGCUUUUAAGUACAUAAGUCAGAACACAAACAUGAACAAUAUCACAUCAGAAUGAUAUUUAAUAUUACAGAAAAAGCAUAGAACAAAACUUGAAGAAAUAUGUUUACAUUUUUAUUUACAUAAAAAAUUAAUAGCUGGGCUUAAAUAUGACAAUAUUUAUAAAUGAGAAUAGUUGAACCCAACACUAACAUGAAAUUAGUAAAAGUGCUAAAAAAUUACUAGCUAAAAUAUAUAGACUGUGAUGGUCAAAGCCUACUUAUACCACAUGAGUGCUCCAAUGCCAGAAUGAAGUUGGCUAAGAGGAGGCAGAAAAGAGAUUGUAUAUUGCAAGUCUUUUGCCCAGGCUGUGACCGACACUGAAAAAAGACAUGCCAACAGAAUAGAUAGGUGUAAAAUGCACUAGAAGUGAAUUUUCCAUAGCUCUAAUCACGUAAUGUUUCUGUAUCAGGACACUAAACUCAUGAAAUAAGAUUGGAGUGUCCUAUCCUUCUUUCUUUUUAACAUUCAUUUGCAAAUGAUUGGUAUAGUUUUCUUUAAAUACUGAAAUGAGUUGACUGUUGAAGCACCCUGAGCCUGAGGUUCACUUGCUGGCGAGGUUUGUGACUAUUGCUUCCAUUCCUUCACUUGUUAUAUAACCAUUCAUAUUUUAGAUUCUUUUAUGGUAAUUAUUCUUGGGUAGCUUUCCCCAAUUUAUAUCUUUCUACUGUUUGUUUUCAUUUCUUUUAAUUAUAUAAACUGGUUCUCUAUUUGACUUUAAGUGCUUAUAGUCCCUGUAGAGUUGGUACGGAUGUCUUCUUGUUUCAUAAAAGGUUCGGAAAUUUUGAUGACAACAGUGAUGGCUGAGGUAGAAUGUGGAUGUAGUAAUGAAAACAUCAACUGAGAGUUCUAGAUGGUAGGCCUUCCUUCCCUGAAGGAGGAGUAGUUACAUGAUCAGUAGUAGGUAAGGACUGGGGACAUGUCUCAAGGAAAGACUCUCCUCUUAUACAAUUGCCUUUAGGCAAAAGGAGGAGGAGGAAGAGGAAGAGGAGGAGGAGGAGGACAAAUAUAUUUUAUUUGGGGCUCAAAUAGACCUUCAUAGCUUAUAGAAUAUGAUCCUAAAUGUAUUGUCAUUCCCCACAUUCCAUAUUUUACUAUUAAUUUCAUUUUAAACAUAUUUUAUGUUUUAUGGGUAUUUUACAAGGAUGUAUGUCUGUGUGUGUUCUAUAUGUGUGUCUACUGCUCACCGAGUCCAAAAAAGGAUGUCAGAUCACCUGGAACUGGAGUUUUAGAUGUUUGUGAGCUGCCACGCAGAUGCUGGUAAUAAAACUCAUGUCCUUACAGGACCAAAACCAGUAAGUGCUCUUAACUGAUGAGACAUCUCUCUAGCCUCUUAUAAGAAGUGAAGAAAUGCCUCUUAUUUGUUUGUGGCAAUCCUAGAAAUAAAUGUUAUCUGGUACCUCCAAAAUGCAUUGCUAAACUUUGAGUGUUUAUUCAGAUCCAGUUUAAUACACACACACACACACACACACACACACAUACACACACACACACUGACAGAGAUAUAUUCCUAUUUGUCUUUCCCAUGCUUUUAUUGGUUGAUAGAGAACAAAAGAAUAUCAAACAAAUGUGUUUACAUAUCACAGGGGACUUGAUCUGUGCAUAAAAACAAAAUAACAACAAAAGCCCUUACAUAUAGAACAUACAAUCAAAAAAGACUUUAUUUUGAACCAACAGCAUGAAUACUCUUGAGACUUCAUUGCAUGCCACUAGUUUCUAUGCACUAGUCAAUAAAAUUGAUAUGAGAAAAGACCCACGUCAUAGCAGAGAUUCUGAAUACAAAGACUGCUAAUGGUUAACUGUUGCUGUUAAUUGCAGGGGGCAAGAAAAUGUUGUCCCUUUGCUCCACUACAAUGGCCUGAAACAUUCUGUUUGGUUUUCUUUCUUUCUUUUUUUUUUAUUACGUAUUUUCUUCAAUUACAUUUCCAAUGCUAUCCCAAAAGUCCCNGCCGACUAGGUCAUCUUUUGAUACAUAUGCAGCUAGAGUCAAGAGCUCUGGGGUACUGGUUAGUUCAUAAUGUCUGUUUGGUUUUCUAAGAAAGGCCACCAUUUGUAGGUCUGGGCUUUGGCUGAAGCCAAGGUCAUGAAAAUCAGUAGGGUGCCAGUAAUACACACAUUAAACUUAUACUGGUGCCCACUGUAUGAACAGUCUACAUUUUAAGUAGCAAGCAUUGCUACCCUGUGAUGGUUGGAUUUUCUGCAUUAUCAUGAAGACAUAUCCUCUGCUGUAUAGUUCCCACUUGUUUCGGGUAUUUUGUUUUUUUGUUUUUUUUGUUUUGUUUUGUCUUGUUUUGUUUUUCUUAAAAAAAACCAAUCGUUCCUCAUAUGCACAGUUACAAAGUGCCUUUGAUUCCACAUUGGCUUCAUUAUUGGAGUUAUAAGACAGGAAAAAUCACAUUCUAGAACAAAGAAAAUAUGUGGUUUCAGGUUAUAAAUGAAUAUUAUAUGUAUAUGUUUAUACGUACAUAUGUGUAUGUAUGGAGGAACAUAGAUACGUAGAUACAAAUGAUACAACUUCAUUCAGUGUUGUAGAUGUUCCAUGAUGAGAAUAGCACACCUUAUGUGAUGCACAUAUUUGAUGUAUAUCAUCUCCUCUUUGUUCUGCACUCUAAUUAAGGAUCUGGUCAGAGCAAAGCUUUUUUGUUCAGUUAGUGAAGCCAUACACCUUGAGCUGGCUGAGAAGGGUUGCAUGUAGUUAUCAAACAGUAUUUCCUUAGUGUCUUUAAUUCAGGGGAAAAAAAGUAAAACCAGAAGGAAGGGAAACAGAUUCUAAGAUGCUGAUUGAAUACAUUCCAGUGUGCAAUUGGCCUUUAUCAAGUCAAGACCCAUAAAAAGACUAGUCAGUAUAAGAAAAAGUAUUCCUAGUUAGAGGGGAGGCAGCUACACUGCAGCAUCCUGAACACAAGUGAAUUCAUCACAAUGCCAGGAGAGACAUUUAACUUCACAGAGCCUCGGUUCCUUUAUUUGCAACAGGGAAGGGAAGAACCAGGUGAUUUGUUAGGUUUAUCUGGGUUUCUUUCUAUGUCUAGAUAAUCAUCAUCAGCUACACAAUUACUUUCUACCUUAUCAUCUACUGCCCCACCUCCCUCUCCAAAGCACCUGAUAUUCAUGUCAUUGUGACUGAUGUAAUUCUAGGUGUUAUUCAUGACUGCAUAGAUCCCAGAGGAACACCAGGGAAUAUUUAGGAGGUCUCACAAAUACUCACCUAAGGGAAGUCAGAACACCCUCUCUCAACCACAGCAUGGCAGAGAGCAAAGCCAGACCAAGCUCCAACACACUGAUGAUCAGCAUCACUGAAAGGGCUCCCUAAAUUCAGGAAAAGAGAGGUCGGUGUGACUGAGUCAGCUGAAUCCCUCAUUCCUGGGUGGGAGGUGACUGUAGAGAUGAAACUAUCUCCAUC
ensembl:processed_transcript BE692007 expressed sequence BE692007